GACGAACGCUGGCGGCGUGCUUAACACAUGCAAGUCGAACGGAAAGGCCCUGCUUUUGUGGGGUGCUCGAGUGGCGAACGGGUGAGUAACACGUGAGUAACCUGCCCUUGACUUUGGGAUAACUUCAGGAAACUGGGGCUAAUACCGGAUAGGAGCUCCUGCUGCAUGGUGGGGGUUGGAAAGUUUCGGCGGUUGGGGAUGGACUCGCGGCUUAUCAGCUUGUUGGUGGGGUAGUGGCUUACCAAGGCUUUGACGGGUAGCCGGCCUGAGAGGGUGACCGGCCACAUUGGGACUGAGAUACGGCCCAGACUCCUACGGGAGGCAGCAGUGGGGAAUAUUGCACAAUGGGCGGAAGCCUGAUGCAGCAACGCCGCGUGCGGGAUGACGGCCUUCGGGUUGUAAACCGCUUUCGCCUGUGACGAAGCGUGAGUGACGGUAAUGGGUAAAGAAGCACCGGCUAACUACGUGCCAGCAGCCGCGGUGAUACGUAGGGUGCGAGCGUUGUCCGGAUUUAUUGGGCGUAAAGGGCUCGUAGGUGGUUGAUCGCGUCGGAAGUGUAAUCUUGGGGCUUAACCCUGGGCGUGCUUUCGAUACGGGUUGACUUGAGGAAGGUAGGGGAGAAUGGAAUUCCUGGUGGAGCGGUGGAAUGCGCAGAUAUCAGGAGGAACACCAGUGGCGAAGGCGGUCCUCUGGGCCUUUCCUGACGCUGAGGAGCGAAAGCGUGGGGAGCGAACAGGCUUAGAUACCCUGGUAGUCCACGCUGUAAACGGUGGGUACUAGGUGUGGGGUCCAUUCCACGGGUUCCGUGCCGUAGCUAACGCUUUAAGUACCCCGCCUGGGGAGUACGGCCGCAAGGCUAAAACUCAAAGGAAUUGACGGGGCCCCGCACAAGCGGCGGAGCAUGCGGAUUAAUUCGAUGCAACGCGUAGAACCUUACCUGGGUUUGACAUGGAUCGGGAGUGCUCAGAGAUGGGUGUGCCUCUUUUGGGGUCGGUUCACAGGUGGUGCAUGCCUGUCGUCAGCUCGUGUCGUGAGAUGUUGGGUUAAGUCCCGCAACGAGCGCAACCCUUGUUCACUGUUGCCAGCACGUUAUGGUGGGGACUCAGUGGAGACCGCCGGGGUCAACUCGGAGGAAGGUGGGGAUGACGUCAAGUCCUCAUGCCCCUUAUGUCCAGGGCUUCACGCAUGCUACAAUGGCUGGUACAGAGAGUGGCGAGCCUGUGAGGGUGAGCGAAUCUCGGAAAGCCGGUUUCAGUUCGGAUUGGGGUCUGCAACUCGACCUCAUGAAGUCGGAGUCGCUAGUAAUCGCAGAUCAGCAACGCUGCGGUGAAUACGUUCCCGGG
rnacentral:rRNA from 1 species